rnacentral:rRNA from 1 species
UACGGAGGGAGCUAGCGUUUUUCGGAAUUACUGGGCGUAAAGCGCGCGUAGGCGGCUUUGUAAGUUAGAGGUGAAAGCCCGGGGCUCAACUCCGGAACUGCCUUUAAAACUGCAUCGCUUGAAUCCGGGAGAGGUGAGUGGAAUUCCGAGUGUAGAGGUGAAAUUCGUAGAUAUUCGGAAGAACACCAGUGGCGAAGGCGGCUCACUGGACCGGUAUUGACGCUGAGGUGCGAAAGCGUGGGGAGCAAACAGG